rnacentral:snRNA from 1 species
AGCGCUGCCCCAACAAGUAGCACUUACUGAAUUCAACAGUCAAGUCAGUGCUCAAGUUAAAGUAACAUUAAUAUCUGAUACGUCCACUACCCGGGGACCAUAUAUUAAAUAGAUUUUUGGAACAGGGAGAUGGAACAGGGGCUUGCUCCGUCCACUCCACGCAUCGACCUGGUAUUGCAGUAUCUCCAGGAACGGUGCACUCCCU